UACAGAGGGUGCGAGCGUUGUCCGGAAUCACUGGGCGUAAAGGGCGCGUAGGUGGCGCGACAAGUCAGUGGUGAAAGUUCGACGCUCAACGUCGAAUCGGCCACUGAUACUGUUGGGCUUGAGCACUGUAGAGGCUAAUGGAAUUCCGGGUGUAGCGGUGGAAUGCGUAGAGAUCCGGAAGAACACCGGUGGCGAAGGCGGUUAGCUGGGCAGUGCUGACAGCUGAGGCGCGACAGCGUGGGGAGCAAACAGGG
rnacentral:rRNA from 1 species